rnacentral:rRNA from 1 species
GUAGCGGUAAUACAGAGACCUCAAGCGUUAUCCGGAUUUAUUGGGCGUAAAGAGCGGGUAGGUUGUUAUGUUAGUCAGAUGUCAAAUCCCCCGACUUAAUCGGGGAACUGCAUUUGAAACGGCAUAACUAGAGGAUGUGAGAGAUCUAUGGAACUCAUGGUGUAGCAGUGAAAUGCGUUGAUAUCAUGAGGAACACCAAAGGCGAAGGCAUUAGAUUGGCACACUCCUGACACUGAGCCGCGAAAGCGUGGGUAGCGAAUGGGAUUAGAUACCCCAGUAGUCCACGCCCUAAACUAUGCAUAUUAGGCAUUGAGAGUAUCGACCCUUUCAGUGUCGUAGCUAACGCGUUAAAUAUGCCGCCUGGGAAGUACGGCCGCAAGGCUAAAACUCAAAGGAAUAGACGGGGAUCCGCACAAGUAGAGGAUCAUGUGGUUCAAUUCGAUGGUAAGCGAGAAACCUCACCAAGGUUUGAAACUAGGCUGCAAGCCCCAGAAACGGGGUCGCCUUCGAGGGUGCCUAGCAGGUGCUGCAUGGUCGUCGUCAGCUCGUGUCGUAAGAUGUUCCGUUAAGUCGGGAAACGAGCGCAACCCCUGUCGUGUGUUUUAUAUGUCACACGAUACUGCCCAGACUUUUGAACGGUAGUUCAAAAGUCAAAUUCGAAAUUUGAAUCUCGAAAUUAGAAACAAUAUUAAAAAUCAAAAAAAUAAAUUCGAAACUGUUUUGAAUUUAUAAUUUUGAAAAUUAGAAUUUGUUUAGGAUUUCGAAUUUAGUGUUUUGGAUUUCUUUUGCUCUAACGAGCAAAAGUCUGGGAGGAAGGAGGGGAUGACGUCAGAUCAGCAUGGCCCUUUGACACCUUGGGCAACACACGUGGUACAAUGGCCGGUACAGAGGGUUGCCAAGUCGCGAGACGGAGCCAAUCCCAAAAAACCGGUCCCAGUUCGGAUAGGAGUCUGCAACUCGACUCCUUGAAGCCGGAUUUACUAGUAAUCGGGGAUCAGAACGCCCCGGUGAAUACGUUCUCGGAUCUUGUACUCACAAUAAAAGCGCCGAGCAGUGUAUUAUUCAAGAGAGUUAAAAUCUCUCCCUCCGAUUCGUUUGUCGGAGCGUAGUUGAAAGGUAGUCGCGUUUCGCAAGGAACGCGGUG